AUUGAACGCUGGCGGCAGGCCUAACACAUGCAAGUCGAACGAGUGGCGGACGGGUGAGUAAUGUCUGGGAAACUGCCUGAUGGAGGGGGCUAACUACUGGAAACGGUAGCUAAUACCGCAUACCAUCAGAUGGGCCCAGAGUGGAUUAGCUAGUUGGUGGGGUAACGGCUCACCAAGGCGACGAGCCCUAGCUGGUCUGAGAGGAUGACCAGCCACACUGGAACUGAGACACGGUCCAAACUCCUACGGGAGGCAGCAGUGGGGAAUAUUGGACAAUGGGCGCAAGUCUGACGCAGCCAUGCCGCGUGUAUGAAGAAGGCCUUCGGGUUGUAAAGUACUGUCAGUGGGGAAGCGGUACCUGCAGAAGAAGCACCGGCUAACUCCGUGCCAGCAGCCGCGGUAAUUC
rnacentral:rRNA from 1 species